GAUGAACGCUAGCUACAGGCUUAACACAUGCAAGUCGAGGGGUAACGAGAGGAAAGCUUGCUUUCCUUGUCGACGACCGGCGCACGGGUGAGUAACGCGUAUCCAACCUGCCCCCAACUAGGGAAUAACCUUGCGAAAGUAAGACUAAUACCCUAUAAUUUCCUCAGAUGUCAUAUGACGAGGAAUAAAGAUUUAUCGGUUGUGGAUGGGGAUGCGUCUGAUUCGGUUGUUGGCGGGGUAACGGCCAACCAAGGCAACGAUCAGUAGGGGUUCUGAGAGGAAGGUCCCCCACGUUGGAACUGAGACACGGUCCAAACUCCUACGGGAGGCAGGAGUGAGGAAUAUUGGUCAAUGGGCGGAAGCCUGAACCAGCCAAGUAGCGUGCAGGAUGACGGCCCUAUGGGUUGUAAACUGCUUUUAUACAGGAAUAAAGUUAGCCACGUGUGGUUAUUUGUAGGUACUGUAUGAAUAAGGACCGGCUAAUUCCGUGCCAGCCGCCGCAGUAA
rnacentral:rRNA from 1 species